GACGAACGCUGGCGGCGUGCUUAACACAUGCAAGUCGAACGGUAAACCUCUGCGGUUGUGAGCAGUUCCGAAGGCGUAAGGAAGACGUACGCAACCUUCCCCCGGCUCUGGCAUAAGUAUAACUUCUGGAAACUAAUACCGGUUGUUCACAGCUGCCCGCGUGGGAUGUUGUGGACUGGGUUGGUGGCUGGGGAUGGGCCCGCGGCCUAUCAGCUUGUCGGUGUGGUGGUGGCUUACCAAGGCGACGACGGGUAGCCGGCCUGAGAGGGUGACCGGCCACACGGGGACUGAGACACGGCCCAGAGUACUACGGGAGGCAGCAGUGGGGAAUAUUGCGCAAUGGGCGGAAGCCUGAUGCAGCGACGCCGCGUGAGGGAUGACGGCCUUCGGGUUGUAAACCGCUUUCAGCAGGGACGAAGCGUGAGUGACGGUACCUGGUGAAGAAGCACCGGCUAACUACGUG
rnacentral:rRNA from 1 species